rnacentral:rRNA from 1 species
AACGUAGGACACAAGCGUUAUCCGGAGUUACUGGGCGUAAAGGGCGCGUAGGCGGCGUGACAAGUCACUUGUGAAAUCUCCGGGCUUAACUCGGAACGGUCAAGUGAUACUGUCGUGCUAGAGUACAGAAGGGGCAACUGGAAUUCUCGGUGUAGCGGUGAAAUGCGUAGAUAUCGAGAGGAACACCUGCGGCGAAGGCGGCUUCCUGGACUGACACUGACGCUGAGGCGCGAAAGCUAGGGAGCAAACGGG